AUUUUCUCAGGAUGAGAGGCUGUGAACAGCUCUACUGCUCUGCAGGACAUCUAGAAAAAACAGAGGAGGAAGAGUCGCAAAAGCUGGAUUUGGGCUGGAUUUAACUAUGUUCCCUUUAGCUAAUUUCAUCUUGUUUUGCUCCCUGACCUAUGAAACGGAGCAUUCAUCCAAUGACAGUCUGCUUCAGGCAUAUCUCUCUUCAAACCUCAACUUCUUCCACUAACGAACUCUCUAAGGUCACAUGAAGUAAAACAAAAGUCUUCAAAUCUACAAGAAGUUCUCCAUUAGCUGUGUGUUUUUCUCUAAGGAAAUUAUUGCUUUUUAAUCUGCCAUUCAUCUCAUCCACAGAGGAACAAAGUGGAUUUUCAGGUCAGAUACUGCUCUUACAAAUCAAUAAGACGUUGUUGAAAAGUUGGAAUUUGAAAGGUAUGGUAGAAAUUAUAUGUAUGUGACUUCUGUGUAAAUGAUGUACUUAAAUCUGUGCAAUAUUGAGAGAUGUUUGAAUCUGAGUGCGUUCUUGGCUGGACCCUACAAGUGAAAGAAAUGAAGUCACAGAGACUGCUUGUUUUUGUCAAGGAGGUGUGUAAGAUGUUUUUGUUUCAGGCAACUUAUUCCUUGAGGUAAUGAAUAUCAGUGUACAUGAAGAAACUGGGUCAUACUCUAUUAGGUUUUGCAGAAAUAUAAUAAGCAAAAAGUGGAUGUUCUAACAGCCUGUAGAAAUUGAACUGUAAGGCUGGGAGUACUUGGGAUGCAUGAACAAGACUCGGCUGUAUUGUGGGAAUUAACUUUGUAUCCUGAUAAUGCAGAUGCUUUUUUGGAAUUGAUCUGAAAUAUAAAUAAUUGAUUUUUCAAAAGUAAAUCUUCUAAAAAUGAAAGGAAGAAGUCUCCUGUUAAAACUCGACAAGGAAUACAUUAUUUUAAUUGAGCUCCUAAACUGGUAUUUGAGUAAUGGUAGUUAUCACACAUACUCCAAAGACGCUCCAAAGAUGAACUCUAGGCUGGCCAAGAAGGCAUUGGGCCACUUUGUGGCUUUUUUUUCCCCACGCAGUAUAAGCUUCAAAAACUGUCUAUUGCCCCGUUUGACUUUUAUGUGGACUGAGAUGAUGGGAGCUGGCUACUACUAGUCAAGCAUUAAAUGUCCUUCAUUUCUCCUGAUCAUUUGUACUUGUUAGGCCGUAGCCAGCUUGUGAGGUGUUCGGGCUGUGGGGAUAUUUCUAUGCUGUGAUGUUUGUUUCCGUCCUGAUUGAAAAUUACUUUAAUUAAAGCUUGUUCCCUGGUUUUCUGCUCCUCAUAAAUGCAGUGAUUCUGGAGUAGUUUAAUGACAUAUAUUUUGAAAAAUGCUGAUUAUCAAGUCUGAUUUUUCUUUUUGUGCCAAUGUGUUGCUUCUGACAACAUCUUCUGAUUGGAACAAGACUUUGUACAAAAAUGCUUAAGCAGCUGCAUUUUCAUGAAUAUAUUAUUAAUUUCAUUACUUCAUUUAUUCUUCCUGUGAUGAAGACCUGAAACCAGUUUUUAAUCUGAAAUGUAAAACUUAUUGUUUAUAUGUAUAUGUAUAUAUAUUUAUAUACACAUACGCACAUACGCCUAUAUAGAUAUGCUUCUCCAUGCAAAUUUAAGACAAACCUUGACAUUUUAUAUAUAUAUAUUUUUUUUUCUUUUAAUGUCUUGGGCAAUUUGUUAUACAGGAAAUAUGCCAUGAUUCAUCCAUUCUAAUAGACUCCACCUCCAACUAGGGCUGAAUUUUCCGUCUUUUGAAGAAUUUCAUGCCGUUAACAAUGUACAUUUAGACUACGUAAACUUACUUCCUGAGUUUCCUUUCCUUUCCUGGCAGUGCUAAGUUAACAAAGCAAAAGGCUUCAGAACAAAACAUUUUCUUGACUUGGAGGCUCCUUGCAAAUGUUUCAUUCCUCAAACUGAGCUCUUUCCUGCUUAAAACUUUCGUAACUUGUUUGGAACUUAAUGAGCCCCACAUGUCCUGGCUCCCAGCACCAGCCAGCCUGCAGCAGCAGAACAGCCCUCCUGCUCUGCACAGGGUCAUGAAAAAUAUCAGUCUUCCCCAGUACUUUUUUGAAGUCUUUUUAUUUUUUGUUUAUGCUCUGAGGACUCUAUUUGCUGGUCAGCUGACCCCCUAAAUUCAAAACUGAAUUUACGACGCAGAAAAUCUCCCGUGUAGUUAUAAAGACAGCAGACAAAAUAGCACUCCAGUAGUGCUCCAGACUCUCUUGGAUUCUCAUGAAAUAUGAUGCCAAGGCUGAAGUUUUAGACCUGAUAAAAACUGUCCACAGGACUUUUCGAUUGUUCCAGAAAAUCUACUUUCCUUUGCACCAGCACAAUUACAAAGGACAAAGUCACAAGUGUGGCACCCACUGUGAAUGGCAAAGGUUUGGUGGAAGGUGGUUCCUGGCCAGACAGGUUUACAACAAUAAUGUAUAGAAACAGACAAUAACCUAUUUUAAAAUGUGUAUGUGUACAUGUCUAUAUAUGCUCAUUUAUGAACUACUUUGAAGACAUUUCAGAAAUCAUACCAAGGAACAGUAGAGAAGCAGCAAAACCAACUCAUUUGAUAAAGCGAAAGGGAGUGUAAGAUAAGUAAAUGAAAUACCAUGGUAAAAGGAAAAGAAAAACAAUCCCUGAAAUCUCAAAAACAGUGCUGACAUGUAGACUUUUCAUAUGUAUUUUCCAUAUUGAGGUAGAAAUUCAUAUCUAGCUAUGUAGGUAUUCUCUGUUUCUACUCCAGAAGUUGCUCUUAGCAUUUGUAUGCCAUAACAACGCUAUAAGCCACAGGAAGCUCUGAGAUUCACUAAAGUAAUUUAGAAAAAACAAAUUAGCUAAGGGAAUGGUCAAUGGUUUUAAUUACUUUUUUUUUUUUUUUUUCCCCCAAUUAAAAAGGUAUGGUGAAAUUCAUACUGGGUAGAAAAAAAUGUUUAGCUAAUUGGGAGAGAAGUCUUCCUUCUUGGGAUCUGUUUAACCAGCACAAACCAGAAGCCAAACUAACGCAUGCAAUCCUAUUUCUUUCUAAAUUCGAUCCGUUACAAAAAUGCGUACCUUAAGGGUAAUUCUCUAUGAUUCUUAUGGGAUAACAGAGUGUAUCAGACACUUUCAGUAUUAACAUGAUAUAGCAGGAAAAAAAAAAUGGCUGAAAGAACUGCCUCAGCCAUCAAUUUUGGGAAGCAAAGUCAGAUUGUAUCGGCUGUGAAAUAUGUGCGCUACACUUGCCUUAUGUAGUAUACAGCAUUCAGAAGCAAGGUCCCUUCAAGGAAAAUAUUUGGGACUGUGAGAUAACUUUAAGGGCGUAUGUUUUCAGGCUUGGAUUUAUUUGUCAAUCCCUACAACUGCAAAACUGCAAAAACCAAGUUAUUUACAGCAUGCAGCGGGACAGAGAUGUAAGUAAGCUUGGUGUAUUUCUUACCUAAAUACAUAUCUUUUAUUAAAUAAUUAUUUCAUUUAAAUCUAUAUAUUCUUAUAAUAUGUUAGAAGGAGUUAAGCAUUACCUGGCAUAUCAUUGUGCAUAGCUAGCUGGAAUAUACAUUUGGUUUCUUCAGCUUCUUUCAUCAUUUGCAAAAGAACUGAAUUUCUUCCCUCUGACAAUCAGGAUAGCCACUCAUUGGCUUUUUAUUCACACUGAGGAAAGGACAUUGAUGAAAUCCUAAUUGUUCUAGGUAACAAGCAUGAAGACUGCAUAAUGCUAUAGUAAAGUUAUUUGUCAUCAGAAAGUGGAAAGACAAUGCCUGAGCCUGCUCUGUGAUGAGCAUCAUAAAAUCCCUUCACCUACAAUAGCUGAUAUGCUAAUAACUAUAAAUCUUUAAGAUGAUAAAAAGAAGACUUGUGCAGAUAUAUCAAGAAAAAAUGUUUGACUUUUCUUUCUCACAGUUUGUAAAGAGAUAUUUGCUCUUAUAUUUAAGGCUUUAUUUUUCUUAGUAAUGUAGGUGUCCAGGCAGCUGGGUAGAAUGAACUGAGAGCUCUUUCCUCCCAGGCUUUCAAUAUUUUAAUGUUUAGAAUUUCAGGGAUUCAGAAGCACAGAAAGGGUUUUAAAUGCUCAUGUUUUUCUAACCAGAGUUUAUGCAAAAACUUGUUAGUUUUCUGAAAAGUUAUUGUACACAGGAGUGCACGUGAGAAUUUCUCCUGAGUCUUUAAAUCCCCCUACUAGAGCAGAAGCAGAUAUUGCUUGCAUUUCUACCUUCCUAUUCUUCAAGUUGUAAGUAUAAUCUGUGCAAACUGAUCAAAACAGAACUAGAAAAUUAUUAAUAUAAUAUUAUAUUCCGUUUACACAUUCCAGGUGAUCUUCUGCUUUUAUUUUUAUUAAGUGUAGUCAAAAGAGGAAUGACAUUGACACAUCUCUCAUUUUCUUUCAUCAUUCAUUGUUUCUGCCUCUCUUCUACACUUAUUUUCCUAAAAACCUGUUCCCACCACUACCCAGAAGGUUCAUCACUUGCUAUUUCCCAGAUAUUCCUCCUUGCACUUUGCCACAUGUAGCUGAUGUUCAAAUCCAGCUAGACCAUCCCCUUUCCAAAGAUCCCUUCCUCACUUCUGUGGUCUUGCUUGUGGUCAGAUUUCCAGCAACAGUGGAUUCUUUCCAUCAUUUCCAAUCUCGUAUUAUUUUGGCAUGUAAACAUGCAAAAUAAAGUUGUUAUUAACUUUUUUUUACCCAAGACUUUGGCUUCCUGCUUUGAUUUCGCAGUUAACGCUGUUUCUGUGUUUCCCUCAUUCUCAUUUUAAUCUUUUUUAUGUUAUGCAUAAUAUAGAUUUUACUGUGUAUUUGUAAUGUGUAUGUCUCCCCUUCCACUCUGAUGUUUGCUUUGUUUUGUUUUGCUGCUGUUUUUUUUUAAUGAGUAUGUGGAAGUUAAUGUAUAUAUAUACUUCCAGUUUGGGAAUGUUGGGUUUCAGCACAAUAGUAUGGUGUGUAUCUACUUCUGUUAUUUGUAUGCACAGUGCUCAUGGUUGCAUACGCAGUUGCUGUUGUCAUCAGUAAAAUUCAUUGCUUGUAGGGAGAUGGUGGUUAUUGUCUGGGCAGUCCAAAAUACCAUGAAAGCAAUUUUGCAUAAUGACACAAAGCCACCCGUUAGAAAUGAUAUAUGCCACAUAGCAAGGCAGGCAUACCAACUGGGAGCCUGAGAACUGAAAACUACCAUGAGUUAGUAUAUUUUUUCAAUUUUCAACAAAAAGUAACUUGGUGGAAUUUUUGUUAAGAAGUCUGGAACAAAGAUACCUACUAGCACUUGUCUGUUAACAAAGUCAUGCUGACUUUGUAUGAUUCACAUGAAAAUUUAUAUAGGUCUUUACUUUAAGGCUCACUUUCAGUUUAUUAUACAGAUUUUCUUCCUUUUGGAGUAGUUAUUAUUCUUAUUUUAAAUACACAUUGCAUGGAUUUUGUUUAAAAUAUGUCAGGUUUCCAUGGUUUUACAACGUUAGGUAAAAACCCCAUGUAUUUUGCAAGUAGAUUUUACAGUAGGUUGGUUGUCCUGCAAAAUGCUAACGCUAACAAUGAGAUGUCAGAGACACCUUUUCUCUCCCUCUCUUCUCUCUCUUACUCACCCCUCUAUUUGUGUAUAUAUAUCAUGGAAACCUGACAAUCUCCAGGGUGCUCAGCUCCAAUAAACUAAUCUCACAAUUCAUGCAUUACAGAAGAUCUGUGAAAAAUAGUUAGCCAGUUUUCUGUUGUGAUGUGGGGGCACCAUAAAUUAAACUUAGGAACUGGAGAAGAGUUAACAAUCAGAUUUGUCAGAGGCAAAGCACCAUGAAGACUCCUUCUCAUUUCAUAAACGUAUAGAUCAUGAGACUAGGUAUAUAGCUUGGUUGAUAUAAAUCAAUCAUUUUGGCCUCAUUUCCACAUGGAUAAGGCUAAGGCUCAUGUAUAUAUAUACACACACAUAUAUAUAUAUAUUCCUUUUUUUCUUUCUGAAAAAAAGACAAAUUCCUCCAUCUGAGUUGUUGCAAUUAUAGUGCAAACACCUCUAUUGUAUUUCAGGGAAACAAAUCAAUUUAUAAAAAUGAUUUUCCCUCAGUUACACUCAAUUUUAGCAAAUGGUACAUAAAUCUGGCACACUUCAUGAGCCAUACACUGAGAAAAGGCUUAUCUCAUUCAUUUAAUCCUAUUAAAAAUGAGGACUUGUGUUCCCCAUGCAUUCAUUGGUGACAGCAGAAUUUGGCCCAGUGGCAGAUGUCUUGGGAGGUGGACUUUACAGGUGCAAUCAAGUCAGUUAAUGUAUCCAGUCCAGGUGAGCCCACAAGUACAGUACUUUCUAUGUCCCUUUCUGCCUACUGGUGCCAAAGAGAGCGCAGCACAUUCCCUAAUGGUACAAACAAAUCAAACCAUCUGACCUGUCAGGUUUUAAUGUACCGAAAUGAAGCUUGAAGCAUAGUUACGAGAACAAUGUCUGCUUGAAGUCCUAGUUAUGGGCCAUAACUGCUUGAAGUCCUAGUUAUGGGCCAUAACCAUGUUGAAUUACUAAUGAGUCAGCUGCUUGUCACGGCUGAGGGCUGUUUGACCUGGGUGGAAAUGAGAAACUGAAUGUGAACAGAACUUAGUUAGAAAGAUAUAAGCUAUAACUUCAAAAAUUAAACCCUUAAAAUAUUAUCAGCUGCAAAUGUGAGACAUGCCUGUGAUCUAGGAGUUUCUAUCUACGAGUCUCCACCAAGGAGUUUCCAAAUUUGAUCUAGAUUCAGUAAUAUACACUCUGGCUGAAAUUAAACCAUUAACUCAUCUAUGCGCAUGGAUACCUCAUUCAGCAGGCUCCUUCCUUAUGCUCCUACCAACAAAGAAGAUGGAGCUUAUUGUCAGCUAUAAAAAAAAGCCAGUGUUAGUCAGCUGAGGGAAGUAUUCUUUGGCAUCCCUAAAUCAACUGAUGUGAUCCCUAAUGAAAAUAAUAAUCAACAGAUGAAGCAUUUUCCUCUGAAAUAUGCCAACGUCUUACUAGCACGGACACCCUAAAGAAAAGACACCUAUGAACAACUAUUACAAAUAGCUGAAAAAUUGCAAAAGUAACUUAUGGAGAUUCAUUACAAAGACCUUUUCACUAAACUUCUUGUUUCUCUAAAAAUUUUACAUGUAC
ensembl:lncRNA